UGAUUUAAAUGCCUGGAGUUUGCCAUUUUCUGUCACAUUUAUGAGAAAUUACCUCCAAAAAUAUGGGACAAAUCAAAGGAAAUAACAGAAUCUCCUCUAAUAACAAUUCAUCACGUCAGAGUCAGCUGUCAGAAAUUGACGAUCACGAUCAUGUUGUAAGGGUGAAGAAAGGAGCUAAGCAUUGGGGAAGAGGAAAAUACGUCUUUGUUCCCGUGAUAAUUCAAAAUGGCUGGUUAUGGCAUGUUUCCAGACUCUGGGGAUACACAAGUAAAUAAAAAAGAAAGAAAAAUCCUAUCAUCAUGGAGCUGACAUUACAGUAGAGAGAAUAAAACGUAAGUGAAAUGUACAGGUCCCGCCCGUACCCUCUCCUGCCCAAGGCCCACCGAGUGGGGUGGAUAAUCCCCCUGUGAUCUGCUAGCUUCAACAGACCAGCUUUCCCACUUGCCAUCACCCCCAACCCACCCUGCCAUACAUCCCUCUUCUGCACCAACACAAAAGCCAGAAGGCCAAUUCUGACAAGCUUAGAGAAUGUUGAUUAAUAGAUACUCAUGUAGACACUGCUUAUGGAGCAUGAAGACUUAUAUCUGUUGUAUCAUCAGUAUCUAAUGUCAGUUUUAGCGACCUAAAUAUGCUCUAAUUUCUCUGGAUGUUGCGUUUUGCCCUGGUUUCCCUGUCAUUCAUCUUUCUACACACAUCACUACCUUCCCAAUCCUUUUGCAUUUCCCUGA